rnacentral:rRNA from 1 species
AUUGAACGCUGGCGGAAUGCUUUACACAUGCAAGUCGAACGGCAGCACGGACUUCGGUCUGGUGGCGAGUGGCGAACGGGUGAGUAAUGUAUCGGAACGUGCCCAGUCGUGGGGGAUAACGUAGUGAAAAUUACGCUAAUACCGCAUACGAUCUAUGGAUGAAAGCGGGGGAUCGCAAGACCUCGCGCGAUUGGAGCGGCCGAUAUCAGAUUAGGUAGUUGGUGGGGUAAAGGCCCACCAAGCCAACGAUCUGUAGCUGGUCUGAGCGGACGAACAGCCACGCUGGAAAUGAGACCGGUUCCAGACGCCUGCGGGAGGGCGCAGUGGGGAAUUUUGGACAAAGGGCGAAAGCCGGAUCCAGCGAUUCCGCGUGCAGGAUGAAGGCCCUCGGGUUGUAAACUGCUUUUGUGCAGAACGAAAAGGUUUCUACUAAUACUAGGGGCUCAUGACGGUACUGUAAGAAUAAGCACCGGCUAACUACGUGCCUGCAGCCGCCGUAA